CCUACGGGUGGCAGCAGUAGGGAAUAUUGGUCAAUGGAUGCAAGUCUGAACCAGCCAUGCCGCGUGCAGGAAGAAGGCCUUCUGGGUUGUAAACUGCUUUUGCCUGGGGAUAAAAGUCCCUUGCGAGGGAGAUUGAAAGUACCAGGUGAAUAAGCCACGGCUAACUACGUGCCAGCAGCCGCGGUAAUACGUAGGUGGCAAGCGUUGUCCGGAGUUACUGGGCGUAAAGCGCACGCAGGCGGCCUGUCAAGUUUGAGGUGACAGUCUCCGGCUUAACUGGAGAAGGACCUUGAAGACUGGUGGGCUUGAGGACUUGAGAGGGACACGGAAUUCCGGGUGUAGUGGUGAAAUGCGUAGAUAUCCGGAGGAACACCAAAGGCGAAGGCAGUGUCCUGGCAAGCUCCUGACGCUCAGGUGCGAAAGCCAGGGGAGCGAACGGG
rnacentral:rRNA from 1 species